rnacentral:misc_RNA from 1 species
GAUGAAGAACGUAGCGAAAUGCGAUAAGUAAUGUGAAUUGCAGAAUUCAGUGAAUCAUCGAAUCUUUGAACGCACAUUGCGCCCGCCAGUAUUCUGGCGGGCAUGCCUGUUCGAGCGUCAUUUCAACCAUCAAGCCCCAGGCUUGUGUUGGGGACCUGCGGCUGCCGCAGGCCCUGAAAAACAGUGGCGGGCUCGCUAGUCACACCGAGCGUAGUAGCAUACACAUCGCUUAGGACGUGCUGCGGGUUCCGGCCGUUAAACCCCCCGCUAUAUCAAGGUUGACCUCGGAUCAGGUAGGAAGACCCGCUGAACUUAAGCAUAUCAAUAAGCGGAGGA